rnacentral:rRNA from 2 species
GACGAACGCUGGCGGCGCGCCUAACACAUGCAAGUCGAGCGAUGAAAGUUGUUUUGAUCCUUCGGGUGACGAACUUCUGGAUUAGCGGCGAACGGGUGAGUAACGCGUGAGGAACCUGCCUCUUACAACGGGAUAGCCUCGGGAAACCGGGAUUAAUACCGUAUAAGACUCCGACAUCUCAUGAUGAUGAAGUCAAAGCGUUAGCGGUAAGAGAUGGCCUCGCGUCUGAUUAGCUGGUUGGCGGGGUAACGGCCCACCAAGGCGGCGAUCAGUAACCGGCCUGAGAGGGUGAACGGUCACAUUGGAACUGAGACACGGUCCAAACUCCUACGGGAGGCAGCAGUGGGGAAUCUUGCACAAUGGGGGCAACCCUGAUGCAGCGACGCCGCGUGAGCGAUGAAGGUUUUCGAAUCGUAAAGCUCCGUCCUAUGGGAAGAUAAUGACGGUACCAUAGGAGGAAGCCCCGGCUAACUACGUGCCAGCCGCCGCGGUAA